rnacentral:ncRNA from 2 species
AUCGCUCUAACGGGGUGCCGACCGCAAUCUUUUUGCGGCUGCUGAGAGGUUUUCGAACCAACCCGUCGAACCUGAUCCGGCUUGCACCGGCGGAGGGAUUUAGACGCUAGCCAAAG